rnacentral:misc_RNA from 1 species
UAGAGGAAGUAAAAGUCGUAACAAGGUUUCCGUAGAACAAGUCUUGCAGGAAUGAUUCCUUCCGCAGUGUACACUUGUAGAAGCCUUUGCAGCCACGCAAGUGGUAGAUCCGGGCGACUUUAAACAAUCCCAGGAUCGCUAUGCAAGUCGGCCCACGCGCGUGGUGCCGGCGACACUUUCGAAUUGACGGGGACGCCCUAAAGCCUGUCGCACCAACUCUGUGCGGGAAACCGCCCGAGGGCCCGUGCUAACUACACGGGGUGGUAACAGACGACAUGGAUACUUUCCACGCCUUUGGUAUGGAUGCUAUGGGCAAUCCGCAGCGAAGCCUCUAAGUCCGGCCGACGGAUACGAGGAACGUUCACAGACUAAGUGGAAGUGGGUGGAGCGUUUGCCGCUCUGCUUAAGAUAUAGUCGGUCCCCUUGGGAAACUAAGGGGGUGAGUGCACUGCCUGAAAUUUUAACACGAACGUGCGCGAUUGUAAGGUGAUUGAUUCUUAUACACGCCAGCAGCGCGCCUUCCCUAAAAUUUCAAGACUGCCAAUUGCCUCGCGGUUUGACAGCUCUUAAAACGUUCCGUAGGUGAACCUGCGGAAGGAUCAUUACAGAAAGUAAACGCGGGUCAAACCGCGAACUUUUAAACCUUUGACGAUUGACUCAUGUUGCCUCGGCGGGCUCGCCCGCCAGAGGAUACAUCAAAACUCCUGUUUUAACGGUGUUGUCUGAGCUACAAGCAACGAAUAAAAACUUUCAACAACGGAUCUCUUGGUUCUGGCAUCGAUGAAGAACGCAGCGAAAUGCGAUAAGUAGUGUGAAUUGCAGAAUUCAGUGAAUCAUCGAAUCUUUGAACGCACAUUGCGCCCCUUGGUAUCCCGAGGGGCAUGCCUGUUCGAGCGUCAUUACACCACUCAAGCCUGGCUUGGUGUUGGGCGACGUCCCCUUUUGGGGACGCGCCUUGAAAUGCUCGGCGGCGUGGCACCGGCUUUAAGCGUAGCAGAAUCUUUCGCUUCGAAAGUCGGGGCCCCGCCUGCCGGAAGACCUACUCACAAGGUUGACCUCGGAUCAGGCAGGGAUACCCGCUGAACUUAAGCAUAUCA